rnacentral:rRNA from 1 species
UACGGGGGGAGCAAGCGUUGUUCGGAUUUACUGGGCGUAAAGGGCGCGUAGGCGGCCAGCACAAGUCAGUUGUGAAAUCUCCGAGCUUAACUCGGAAAGGUCAACUGAUACUGUGCGGCUAGAGUGCGGAAGGGGCAACUGGAAUUCUUGGUGUAGCGGUGAAAUGCGUAGAUAUCAAGAGGAACACCUGCGGCGAAGGCGGGUUGCUGGGCCGGCACUGACGCUGAUGCGCGAAAGCUAGGGGAGCGAACGGG